rnacentral:rRNA from 1 species
UGCGUAGGCGGCUUUUUAAGUUUGGUGUGAAAUCUCCCGGCUCAACUGGGAGGGUGCGCCGAAUACUGAGAGGCUAGAGUGUGGGAGAGGAAAGUGGAAUUCCUGGUGUAGCGGUGAAAUGCGUAGAUAUCAGGAGGAACACCGGUGGUGUAAACGGCUUUCUGGACCAUAACUGACGCUGAGGCACGAAAGCGUGGGUAGCAAACA